CACAAACAAACAACACAGGAAAGUCUGAACUGUGAGUGAGGGUGACAGCAGUGUCCUAAUUGAAAUACAACAUAAAAAGUGUGUUUCAGCUAAAGCUGCUGUAAGUUUAGACUUUCAGGCUGGAAAUGGAUGAGUGCAUCAGACUGCCUGAUCACACAAAGAUCUGUACGAGUCUCUGAGGAGUCCUGAAAAGACAAUCAAAAGAUCCUGCAGGGGAGAGUUCUGGGAAAGCACAAUCAAACACGCCUCUCACUGAAAUGGAAGAGGCUGCCACUAUUUGACCAGCCCGGAAGGUGCAAUUCACCCACUUUAUAUCGCCCACUCCUACAAACACAGCGACACAUCCCACAAACCUUUUGAAGUCAACUACUACCUCUUUCUCCUUCCAUCUAGUUUCUCAUGGAAUUCCUAUGGAUAUCCUAUCAACUGAGGUGGGCUUCAGGUGCCCUGAAUUUUAUGUAUUUAUAUUUAUUUAUUCAUUUUAUCGCAUUGUCUUUAAG
ensembl:lncRNA